AGUGAACGCUGGCGGCAGGCCUAACACAUGCAAGUCGAACGGCAGCACAAGAGAGCUUGCUCUCUGGGUGGCGAGUGGCGGACGGGUGAGGAAUGCAUCGGAAUCUGCCCAUUUGUGGGGGAUAACCUCGGGAAACCGGGACUAAUACCGCAUACGACCUACGGGUGAAAGCAGGGGAUCUUCGGACCUUGCGCAGAUGGAUGAGCCGAUGCCGGAUUAGCUAGUUGGAGGGGUAAAGGCCCACCAAGGCGACGAUCCGUAGCUGGUCUGAGAGGAUGAUCAGCCACACUGGGACUGGGACACGGCCCAGACUCCUACGGGAGGCAGCAGUGGGGAAUAUUGGACAAUGGGCGCAAGCCGGAUCCAGCCAUGCCGCGUGGGUGAAGAAGGCCUUCGGGUUGUAAAGCACUUUUGUUGGGAAAGAAAAGCAGCCGGUUAAUACCCGGUUGUCAUGACGGUACCCAAAGAAUAAGCACCGGCUAACUUCGU
rnacentral:rRNA from 1 species